UGCAAGUCGAACGAUGAUGCCCAGCUUGCUGGGUGGAUUAGUGGCGAACGGGUGAGUAACACGUGAGUAACCUGCCCCUGACUCUGGGAUAAGCGUUGGAAACGACGUCUAAUACUGGAUAUGACCGCCGAUCGCAUGGUCUGGUGGUGGAAAGAUUUUUUGGUUGGGGAUGGACUCGCGGCCUAUCAGCUUGUUGGUGAGGUAAUGCUCACCAAGGCGACGACGGGUAGCCGGCCUGAGAGGGUGACCGGCCACACUGGGACUGAGACACGGCCCAGACUCCUACGGGAGGCAGCAGUGGGGAAUAUUGCACAAUGGGCGAAAGCCUGAUGCAGCAACGCCGCGUGAGGGAUGACGGCCUUCGGGUUGUAAACCUCUUUUAGUAGGGAAGAAGCGUAAGUGACGGUACCUGCAGAAAAAGCACCGGCUAACUACGUGCCAGCAGCCGCGGUAAUACGUAGGGUGCAAGCGUUGUCCGGAAUUAUUGGGCGUAAAGAGCUCGUAGGCGGUUUGUCGCGUCUGCUGUGAAAUCCCGAGGCUCAACCUCGGGCUUGCAGUGGGUACGGGCAGACUAGAGUGCGGUAGGGGAGAUUGGAAUUCCUGGUGUAGCGGUGGAAUGCGCAGAUAUCAGGAGGAACACCGAUGGCGAAGGCAGAUCUCUGGGCCGUAACUGACGCUGAGGAGCGAAAGCGUGGGGAGCGAACAGGAUUAGAUACCCUGGUAGUCCACGCCGUAAACGUUGGGCGCUAGAUGUAGGGACCUUUCCACGGUUUCUGUGUCGUAGCUAACGCAUUAAGCGCCCCGCCUGGGGAGUACGGCCGCAAGGCUAAAACUCAAAGGAAUUGACGGGGGCCCGCACAAGCGGCGGAGCAUGCGGAUUAAUUCGAUGCAACGCGAAGAACCUUACCAAGGCUUGACAUACACCGGAAACGGCCAGAGAUGGUUGCCCCCUUGUGGUCGGUGUACAGGUGGUGCAUGGUUGUCGUCAGCUCGUGUCGUGAGAUGUUGGGUUAAGUCCCGCAACGAGCGCAACCCUCGUUCUAUGUUGCCAGCGCGUUAUGGCGGGGACUCAUAGGAGACUGCCGGGGUCAACUCGGAGGAAGGUGGGGAUGACGUCAAAUCAUCAUGCCCCUUAUGUCUUGGGCUUCACGCAUGCUACAAUGGCCGGUACAAAGGGCUGCGAUACCGUAAGGUGGAGCGAAUCCCAAAAAGCCGGUCUCAGUUCGGAUUGAGGUCUGCAACUCGACCUCAUGAAGUCGGAGUCGCUAGUAAUCGCAGAUCAGCAACGCUGCGGUGAAUACGUUCCCGGGCCUUGUACACACCGCCCGUCAAGUCAUGAAAGUCGGUAACACCCGAAGCCGGUGGCCUAACCCUU
rnacentral:rRNA from 1 species